rnacentral:tRNA from 1 species
UGGAUCACCUCCUAACAGGGAGACAACAAAAUGUUUAAUAUUAUUAUUUUGUCACCUUAGGUCGAUCGGUAUCUCACGUUCUUAAUUUGUUAAGAAUUUCAUUUCCUAAGUUUUUCUAGGUCACACCCAUUAUUUUUCCUGGGCCAUUAGCUCAGGUGGUUAGAGCGCACCCCUGAUAAGGGUGAGGUCCCUGGUUCAAGUCCAGGAUGGCCCAUAUCUCUAUGUUGGGGGUAUAGCUCAGUUGGUAGAGCGCCUGCUUUGCAAGCAGGAUGUCAGCGGUUCGAGUCCGCUUACCUCCACUGAUUACCACCUCUUACAUAACUGGUAAAAAGGAAAUGUUUUGAGUUGUGAUCAUUAUUCUGAACGAAUCUAGCUUCCUAAUGAAAUCAUUAAGAUGCUGGACUCAUUGAAUUAAUUUCAUUGUUUUCAGAGAACCUUGACAACUGCAUAGAUUAUUUUUAAAGACAAUAAGCAUCUUUAAUGAUGCAGAUUUAUUAUUUGUGCGAAUGCAUUAAUAACAAUUCUAUUAAGCUGAUGCUUCAAUUUUUUGAAGUUAUUGGUCAAGCUACAAAGGGCUCACGGAGGAUACCUAGGCACACAGAGGCGAUGAAGG